UGAGCAUUGUAUGUUUUUAGUAUGUGAACAAACACUUAUAGACAGGUUCAAAAUAAUCUCUUGAAACCCAGAACUCAUUGUUGAGUAUGAGUCUUGAUACAUGUAAGAAGGCACU
rnacentral:snoRNA from 1 species